rnacentral:misc_RNA from 1 species
UUUGUUUCCAGGGGAUUUGACCAAUAUUUGUAGUGUUCGUAUUUUUUGUCAUCCAGAUCAUCAGCAAUUCCAUAUGAAAAAUGAGCACUACCACGCUUCAUCAACUUUGGUGCAACAAAAUGAAGAAGAUCCAAAACAGAUCCAGCUGUGUAAACUUUGUAAUCUGCAACAGCUUUGACACCUCCAAUACCCAUAUCAUGGUACUCAGUCCACACAUCACGGCAAGUGGAAUUGGCAUGACUUUUACCUUUAAGAGCAUCUCUGAAGUCAAUCCUCUCAAUCUCUGAUGAGUGCAAAUUAGCUACAUGCUUCCCAAAUGAUAUUAAUCUUCCAUACUUCACACGAGUAGCAUUAGCCGACUUUCUGGUCCUGUCACUCUCUGAUGUCUGGGUGCUAUUAUUCUUUGGCUUCUUUUCAUUACAUUCAUGGCCUUCUUCAGGGGACCAAUCCAGUCCACCCCAGAUUGUGUCCCCACCUUUAGGUAUCAUUG